rnacentral:rRNA from 1 species
UACGGAGGGGGCUAGCGUUGUUCGGAAUUACUGGGCGUAAAGCGCACGUAGGCGGCUUUGUAAGUUAGAGGUGAAAGCCCGGAGCUCAACUCCGGAAUUGCCUUUAAGACUGCAUCGCUAGAAUUGUGGAGAGGUAAGUGGAAUUCCGAGUGUAGAGGUGAAAUUCGUAGAUAUUCGGAAGAACACCAGUGGCGAAGGCGACACACUGGGCCAUUACUGACGCUGAGGCGCGAAAGCGUGGGGAGCAAACAGG